AGAUUAAGUUAUUAAGGGCGCACGGUGGAUGCCUUGGCACUAGAAGCCGAUGAAGGACGUUACUAACGACGAUAUGCUUUGGGGAGCUGUAAGUAAGCUUUGAUCCAGAGAUUUCCGAAUGGGGAAACCCAGCAUGAGUUAUGUCAUGUUAUCGAUAUGUGAAUACAUAGCAUAUCAGAAGGCACACCCGGAGAACUGAAACAUCUUAGUACCCGGAGGAAGAGAAAGAAAAUUCGAUUCCCUUAGUAGCGGCGAGCGAAACGGGAAGAGCCCAAACCAACAAGCUUGCUUGUUGGGGUUGUAGGACACUCUAUACGGAGUUACAAAGGACGACAUUAGACGAAUCAUCUGGAAAGAUGAAUCAAAGAAGGUAAUAAUCCUGUAGUCGAAAAUGUUGUCUCUCUUGAGUGGAUCCUGAGUACGACGGAGCACGUGAAAUUCCGUCGGAAUCUGGGAGGACCAUCUCCUAAGGCUAAAUACUCUCUAGUGACCGAUAGUGAACCAGUACCGUGAGGGAAAGGUGAAAAGCACCCCGGAAGGGGAGUGAAAUAGAACCUGAAACCGUGUGCUUACAAGUAGUCAGAGCCCGUUAAUGGGUGAUGGCGUGCCUUUUGUAGAAUGAACCGGCGAGUUACGAUUUGAUGCAAGGUUAAGCAGUAAAUGUGGAGCCGUAGCGAAAGCGAGUCUGAAUAGGGCGUUUAGUAUUUGGUCGUAGACCCGAAACCAGGUGAUCUACCCUUGGUCAGGUUGAAGUUCAGGUAACACUGAAUGGAGGACCGAACCGACUUACGUUGAAAAGUGAGCGGAUGAACUGAGGGUAGCGGAGAAAUUCCAAUCGAACCUGGAGAUAGCUGGUUCUCUCCGAAAUAGCUUUAGGGCUAGCCUCAAGUGAUGAUUAUUGGAGGUAGAGCACUGUUUGGACGAGGGGCCCCUCUCGGGUUACCGAAUUCAGACAAACUCCGAAUGCCAAUUAAUUUAACUUGGGAGUCAGAACAUGGGUGAUAAGGUCCGUGUUCGAAAGGGAAACAGCCCAGACCACCAGCUAAGGUCCCAAAAUAUAUGUUAAGUGGAAAAGGAUGUGGCGUUGCCCAGACAACUAGGAUGUUGGCUUAGAAGCAGCCAUCAUUUAAAGAGUGCGUAAUAGCUCACUAGUCGAGUGACACUGCGCCGAAAAUGUACCGGGGCUAAACAUAUUACCGAAGCUGUGGAUUGUCCUUUGGACAAUGGUAGGAGAGCGUUCUAAGGGCGUUGAAGCAUGAUCGUAAGGACAUGUGGAGCGCUUAGAAGUGAGAAUGCCGGUGUGAGUAGCGAAAGACGGGUGAGAAUCCCGUCCACCGAUUGACUAAGGUUUCCAGAGGAAGGCUCGUCCGCUCUGGGUUAGUCGGGUCCUAAGCUGAGGCCGACAGGCGUAGGCGAUGGAUAACAGGUUGAUAUUCCUGUACCACCUAUAAUCGUUUUAAUCGAUGGGGGGACGCAGUAGGAUAGGCGAAGCGUGCGAUUGGAUUGCACGUCUAAGCAGUAAGGCUGAGUAUUAGGCAAAUCCGGUACUCAUUAAGGCUGAGCUGUGAUGGGGAGAAGACAUUGUGUCUUCGAGUCGUUGAUUUCACACUGCCGAGAAAAGCCUCUAGAUAGAAAAUAGGUGCCCGUACCGCAAACCGACACAGGUAGUCAAGAUGAGAAUUCUAAGGUGAGCGAGCGAACUCUCGUUAAGGAACUCGGCAAAAUGACCCCGUAACUUCGGGAGAAGGGGUGCUCUUUAGGGUUAACGCCCAGAAGAGCCGCAGUGAAUAGGCCCAAGCGACUGUUUAUCAAAAACACAGGUCUCUGCUAAACCGUAAGGUGAUGUAUAGGGGCUGACGCCUGCCCGGUGCUGGAAGGUUAAGAGGAGUGGUUAGCUUCUGCGAAGCUACGAAUCGAAGCCCCAGUAAACGGCGGCCGUAACUAUAACGGUCCUAAGGUAGCGAAAUUCCUUGUCGGGU
rnacentral:rRNA from 1 species